rnacentral:rRNA from 1 species
AUGAACGCUGGCGGCGUGCCUAAUCCCUGCAAGUCGAGCGAACGGACGAGAAGCUUGCUUCUCUGAUGUUAGCGGCGGACGGGUGAGUAACACGUGGAUAACCUACCUAUAAGACUGGGAUAACUUCGGGAAACCGUAGCUAAUACCGGAUAAUAUUUUGAACCGCAUGGUUCAAAAGUGAAAGACGGUCUUGCUGUCACUUAUAGAUGGAUCCGCGCUGCAUUAGCUAGUUGGUAAGGUAACGGCUUACCAAGGCAACGAUGCAUAGCCGACCUGAGAGGGUGAUCGGCCACACUGGAACUGAGACACGGUCCAGACUCCUACGGGAGGCAGCAGUAGGGAAUCUUCCGCAAUGGGCGAAAGCCUGACGGAGCAACGCCGCGUGAGUGAUGAAGGUCUUCGGAUCGUAAAACUCUGUUAUUAGGGAAGAACAUAUGUGUAAGUAACUGUGCACAUCUUGACGGUACCUAAUCAGAAAGCCACGGCUAACUACGUG